rnacentral:lncRNA from 1 species
CUCUUCCCCGCCGCCGUCACUCGCGCCUCCUUCUCCCUCCCGUGCUCUUCUCGCUCCGCUUCCUCUCGCACUCCUUGAUCUCGCCUGCGGCGAAAAUGGCGGAAGUUGAGGCGCCCACCCAGGAGGUCAAGCUCUUCGGCCGCUGGUCCUUCGAGGACGUCCAGGUGGUCCCUCUUCUCCUCCCCUCCUCCCCCACCUUCAUCUCGUCGGUGUAUCUAUAUUGCAUGCUGAGGCGGCGUAGGUCUUGGUAAUUGGGCUUCCAAGUGAUCUGAUUUGCUAGAUCUGGCGGAUUAGAGGGUGGUUUGCCUAGGUUCUGUUUGCACGUCAUGACUGUAAUUGACGAUAUGAUUUCAUGGUGGACAUAUCGGUUUUGCGUUGACGAUUUGAUUUCAUGGUGGACAUAUCGGUUUUCCGUAGGUUCGGUGGUGGAAUCCGAGUUUCCUCAGAUUUGCGUUUCCGCUUGUUAUGUAGCUUGACGAGUGGUGGGACUAUUAUAUUUAGUAUUGGGAAUAUUGAUUGCCGUUUUUGGUUUUGUGGUUGUCUUGAAAUAGGUCUGGUAUUCUCACUGAAUAAGUUAAGGCUUCAUCUUUAAAUGGGUUUUUCUUGUCAGGAUGUUUAAUGCGUGUUUUGGGAAUUCUUUAUUUGGAGACUUGUUUGGGAUCAUGAGCAUGUAUCAGAUUGGUAUGCACCUGUGUUGAUACUAAGACGAUCUGUGCAAGCUAAACUAGUGUUUGACUUGGGUAGAAAGUUAGAUUUCUAUUUGUGUUUACAACCAGUCGAAGUUAAACUGCUGUAUGUCUUCAACUGUUUGUUUCCAACACUAAACUGGUCUAGAAGUCUACAUUAAAUGCCUUAUUACUACUGUGUAUUUAACGAUAGUUAUUAAGCUUUUGAAAAGAUAGGAUUUACUGCACGAUGUUGGUGAUUUGGUGUCCUGGUAGUCUAAAAACAUUGCGCUGGUUUCAUUUGGAACUUGUUCUUAGUAUAGUUUGUGCUGAACAUUGCAAAUAUGAUCUUUAUAUAAUUUUCCUAUGAGUGUGCCAGGGUCAAUAUGCAACACUGUUUCUUCUUUUCUAGUACUCCCUCUGUCUCAAAUUGCAAUUCGUUUUGGCUUUUGUAGAUACAUAGCUUUUGCUAUGCACCUCGAUAUAUAUUAUGUCUAGAUACGUAGCAAAAGUUAUGCACCUAGAAAAGCCAAAACGAAUAGUAAUUUGGGACGGAGGGAGUACUUGUUUCCCCCCUCAAGCUCUACUUUACAAUUCUCCUUGUGACUUGCUAGGCCUAUAGUAUCGUUUUAUGAUUUUCUAAGCAGAUCUUGUGGAACUUCUUUUAUGCAGGUCAAUGACAUUUCCCUGGCUGACUACCUUGCCGUCAAUCCUACAAAGCAUGCCAUAUAUCUUCCUCACACUGCUGGAAGGUAUUCUGCUAAGAGGUUCCGCAAGUCUCAGUGCCCAAUUGUUGAGAGGCUGACAAACUCUCUGAUGAUGCACGGCCGCAACAACGGCAAGAAGGUCAUGGCUGUUCGCAUUGUGAAGCAUGCUAUGGAGAUUAUUCACCUGCUGACUGAUGCCAACCCUAUCCAAAUUAUCGUAGAUGCCAUCAUAAACAGGUGACUACUGUUGUAACUGAAAUAUCCUCAUUUUACGAUGACAACUCCUGAUUCCUGGUAGAAUCAACCCUUUGGUUUGAUGAUAUGUUCGUACUUGAUAGUAUUAGUGUUUAAUAUGCAUUACUAACCAUGCUAUCCCUUGUUAUAGUUGUAAAUAUCUUGAUCCCUGUAUGUUAUUUUCUAACCCUGGUAAUCAGUUAGAAAUUUGAGAUGAUGAGUACGCAGUUCAAUGUUACAGGAUUGUAAGUUAUGGAAAAUAACUGGUGCGGUAAUUUCCAAAUUGUAGGCUUUCAUUGGUUUUUGAAACUCAGGAACAUUGUCUGAUUUCCUUGUUAUCCUUCUUUCUUUAGGUAUUUGUAGCUAUUAUUUAUUUAACCUGCUAUAAAAUCUAACUAAUGUGUACUUUUCUUGGUUACCUGAUCUACCUUAAGGCCCCAUUUGGAUCCCUUCAUUUGAAGGAAUUGGAAUCUACUUAAUAGAGUAGGCUAAUUUAUCUUGGAACAUGGCAUUCCACAACUUUCCAAAGUUUACAUAUAAGCCUAUCUUAAAUUCAUGGGGUGGGAGAUGGAAAUUGAUUCUAUAGAUUAUGAUUAUUAGAAUGGAAUUCAAUUCUUAUAGCACGCUCUUGAACUCGCUUCCCUAUAUAGAAAUGCAGCACAUAAGUACCUCUCCCAUAUCGCCAACAAUAAUAUACAAAUAUAUUCCACAUACAAUUAUAUUAGCUUAAUUAAUUUGUAUCUAAAUUAUGAUUAUUAGAAUGGAAUUCAAUUCCAAUGAUCCAAACGGGACCUAAUUGAUAAAUUACAAUUAUACACCUUGUUGGUACUUUUGUUUGCUAAUAUGAACCUAUGUCUUUCAUGCUUUAUUGUCUCUAAAUGGGUUAAAAUGUUGUAUGUCUCAUUUAGUGGGCCAAGAGAAGAUGCGACACGUAUUGGAUCUGCUGGUGUUGUUAGAAGGCAGGCAGUUGAUAUCUCUCCUUUGAGGCGUGUGAACCAGGCAAUCUACCUGCUUACCACUGGUGCUAGGGAAAGUGCUUUCAGAAACAUCAAGACCAUUGCCGAGUGCCUUGCGGACGAGCUUAUCAAUGCAGCUAAAGGUUCUUCUAACAGGUAUGUUUUAUUCUCUGUGUUAUACCAGUAUUCUUCUGAUUACAAAUAGUUUAGAAAACUUGACCUGUAAUUUGCCGAAGGAGGAAAAAGAUCCAUACCCAUCAGCCUGCCUUAGUUCUGGAAAAUGUUACAUUAUAUGCUUGAUAUUUUUCCAUGU